AUUUUUCUUCUCAGGAGACGAGAAUGUAGCGAGUACUAGUCGGGGUAUGGAAUGAAGGUUCUAGAGAGAGUUGUUUAAUAGUCCUCACCAUUUUUGUAAAAUAAUGUAUCAAUAAUUAUGAUGGGGAUUUAUUUGGGUAUGUAUAUUGUCUAGAAGACAAUAAUUGUAUUUAAACUCACAGUAUAUAUGUUGUCGUAUUUUGCACGACAAAUGUAUUAAUAAAGUUGAAGUUAUUUCUG
rnacentral:lncRNA from 1 species